GGCCGGAUAGCUCAGUCGGUAGAGCAGAGGACUGAAAAUCCUUGUGUCGCUGGUUCGAUUCCAGUUCUGGCCA
rnacentral:tRNA from 1 species